UCAAAUGUGUAAAAUUAUAAUACUUAAUUGCAGUUAUGCUAAGAAUUCUGAAACACAUAUUACAAAAAGGUAAUAGGAAUAGGAAUGAUAUGAACUAAAGUGAUCAAAAGAACAAGAACAUGAGAUUUGAGUAAGCCUUUCUGCAUCUUUCUUGAAUCUGUAAUGGGUCAAAUGGUUAAAAAUGUUCUGAAGAAAUUUGGUAGGAUGACUGGAGCGGGUCAAACGAAUUGAAUGUCGUGUAAAAUGUAAAACAGAACAAAAUCUCCUAAAUCAUUUGACUUAGAAUGUGAAAUCUCAUGUGUUUGACUUAGAAUCAGGUGAAGGUGAUUGAAGGUUGAAUAACUAUCUCCAAUAAUUGGAUUCUGGCAUAAAAAGUGGAACCCGGAAACAAAAAGAACAGUUGUCUAUCGAGGUUUCUUUGAGUAAUUGAUAUGUAUUUUUAUGCAGAAAUCUAAUUUUACAUUUUGUUUUUUUCCCCUUUGUUGCAACCCCAGAUAGAGAAUGCCUAUAAAAUUCUUGCCACUUUAUUUUUGCGAGGCUUCAAUUUUACAACGUUCCCAAGCACAAAAUUACUAUUGCUACAACUCAAUUUUUAGAGUGGAAGGUGGGCAAUCUGUAACAUUGGUUGGUUCAAAACUUAUAACGUCUGGGGGAGAGGACAAGCAUUUAAUACUUUUGAAUGACGUUAAUUCCUUUGAUCUAGAGACUAUGAUUUGGAAUGUUGCCGAGACUACGCAAGUAGAUUUGUACAACAUUUUGGCAACCUCUGGUAUAUUUAUGGGCAUUGCCAUUGUGCUAUGGACUAUGUAUGUGUGGUUAUGUGCUUAAGUGCCUAUUUAAAUUGUUUUUUAUGGGAACCAAACAAAAAGGCCCACUUAGUCCGUUGGCUUUAUUGUUCAAAUUGCAUAAUCUUGAUGUGGAUCAAAUACUUUUAUGCAUUAUGUUUGGUUUUAAAUGUAGAGUUCCUUUCAGUUGAUUGCUGAAUAGGAUGGAAAGGAAAACUCUGUGUUGUAGACUUUCUUAUUCUUGCAGACAUGCAAUUCAAUAACAUUCCAACAGCUCAGGAGUUCGAUAUCCCGUUGGGUGAUGGAGUUCGUUUAUAAGACUCAAGGACAUGACUACAAAGAGAACUUGUAUUAGGUACCUUACACAUGGAGUUCUUGAAAAUCUUUCUGGCCGCUCAAACAAUAUUCAGUGAUCGUAUUGGAUGAAGCCCAUGAAUGGAGUCUAAACACACUGGUGUGGAGCCCAAUGAAAUCGACCUGGUUAUGACUCAAAAUGGCUGUCAAGAUCAAAGGUCGUCAAGGCUUUUUGAAGGCUGCAAAUGGUCAACGGAGAUGUUAAGGUCAUUUUAUUCUCAUACGUAUCAAGGGAAACAUGGGUAUUUAGAAGUUAACCGUGAAGGCAUCUACUUACAACAUGACGAAGAUUAGUGAUCGGGAGUCAUUUGUGUUCCUUAGUUACUAAUUUUUAGUUCGAUCAUGUCUCUUGCUAUCUCCUAUAACCAUCCUACUCAUGAUAUCGUAUGACAUUGUAGACUGGGAGACUAAUUGUGUAUGGGUUGGGCCGCAAAAGGUAGAGUAUGGAGUUAGGAGAAAUGUUGAAGGAUGAAAUUACGCUCAAAAUAGUUCUUUCUGGCUGCCCCACUCUCAAUGGUAUAUGGAUGUCACUUUGUUAUGAUUUAUUAAGCGACUUCAAGGAUAUCGAAUUUUAGGUGUCUGUUAAAUCAAAGAGGACUUGCAUCUAUAACGUUGGAUGUGGUAGGGCGUGCUACACCAACUGGACUGAGCUCAUGUUACUUUUAGUAAAUUGUAAAUGUAAACUUCAUACCUAAUGAUACAAUCCACUUUGUUACUAAUU